rnacentral:tRNA from 1 species
GCCUUGGUAGAAUGGUUAGAGUGUCGGCGUGCCAUGCCAAAGAUCGGCGGUUCGACUCCUGCCCGGGUCA